AUCAUUUUGUAGCUCAUACACAUGAUGAAUGGGUUUUCAUGCUUGUGUGUGCAAUGUGCCUCCCUCAAACUUGUUAUGACAUGGGCACAUUUACCUGUCAGACA